rnacentral:snRNA from 1 species
AUUAAUUCUCGGCUAUUUGGCUAAGAUGAAAGUGUAGUAUCUGCUCUUAUCAACUUAAUAUAUGAUACGGUCCUUAUUUGUGGCCAUCGUUAUCAAAGUUAUUCUUAGAACGAAGCGAAGAGUUAGGGGCUUUUCCACGGACAAAAGAGAUCUCAU